rnacentral:rRNA from 1 species
AUUGAACGCUGGCGGCAGGCUUAACACAUGCAAGUCGAACGAGUGGCGGACGGGUGAGUAAUGCUUGGGAAUCUGCCCGAUGGAGGGGGAUAACUACUGGAAACGGUGGCUAAUACCGCAUACUAUCGGCUGAACCCAUAUGGGAUUAGCUAGUAGGUGGGGUAAAGGCUCACCUAGGCGACGAUCUCUAGCUGGUCUGAGAGGAUGAUUCGCCACCAUGGUCCUAAGACACGGCCCAGACGACUAUGGGAGGCAGCAGUGGGGAAUCUUGCAUAAUGGGCGCAAGCCUGAUGCAGCCAUGCCGCGUGUAUGAAGAAGGCCUUAGGGUUGUAAAGUACCUUCAGCGGGGAGGCGUUACCCGCAGAAGAAGCACCGGCUACCGCCGUGCCAGCAGCCGCGGUAAUAC